rnacentral:rRNA from 1 species
AUUGAACGCUGGCGGCGUGCCUAACACAUGCAAGUCGAGCGGUAACAGGUGUAGCAAUACAUGCUGACGAGCGGCGAACGGGUGAGUAAUGCUUUGGAAUCUUCCCAGUAGUGGGGAAUAACCAGUCGAAAGAUUGGCUAAUACCGCAUACGUCUGUAAAGGGAAAGCGGGGGCUCGUAAGACCUCGCGCUAUUGGAUGAGCCAAAGUCGGAUUAGCUAGUUGGUGGGGAAUGGCCUACCAAGGCGACAAUCCGUAGCUGGUCUGAGAGGACGACCAGCCACACCGGAACUGAGACACGGUCCGGACUCCUACGGGAGGCAGCAGUGGGGAAUAUUGGACAAUGGGGGAAACCCUGAUCCAGCGACGCCGCGUGUGUGAAGAAGGCCUGCGGGUUGUAAAGCACUUUAGUGGGACAAAAAGUCACGGCGAAUACCCUGUGAUCUUGAUUUAACCCAAAGAAAAGACACCGGCUAACUCUGUGCCAGCCGCCGCCGUAAC